rnacentral:pre_miRNA from 1 species
CAGGUACUCCCUCCGUCCGAAAAUAUUUGUCAUCAAAAUUGAUGAAAAGAGAUGUAUCUAUAACUAAAAUAUGUCUAGAUACACCCCCUUUUAUCUAUUUUGAUGGCAAGUAUUUCCGGAUGGAGGCAGUAUAAA